rnacentral:rRNA from 1 species
GAUGAACGCUGGCGGCGUGCCUAAUACAUGCAAGUAGAACGCUGAAGGAGGAGCUUGCUCUUCUGGAUGAGUUGCGAACGGGUGAGUAACGCGUAGGUAACCUGCCUGGUAGCGGGGGAUAACUAUUGGAAACGAUAGCUAAUACCGCAUGACAACAGUUAUUGCAUGAUAACUGUUUAAAAGGGGCAACUGCUCCACUACCAGAUGGACCUGCGUUGUAUUAGCUAGUUGGUGAGGUAACGGCUCACCAAGGCGACGAUACAUAGCCGACCUGAGAGGGUGAGCGGCCACACUGGGACUGGGACACGGCCCAGACUCCUACGGGAGGCAGCAGUAGGGAAUCUUCGGCAAUGGACGGAAGUCUGACCGAGCAACGCCGCGUGAGUGAAGAAGGUUUUCGGAUCGUAAAGCUCUGUUGUAAGAGAAGAACGAGUGUGAGAGUGGAAAGUUCACACUGUGACGGUAGCUUACCAGAAAGGGACGGCUAACUACGUG